CUUCUGCUUCUUGUCCAGAGCUGCACAGGCAGCAUUUGAUCGCUCCACGUCAAUCAUCAGGUCCUCCACCUCAUUCUGCAGCCUCUGCUUUGUCUUUUCCAGGGAAGCACAUUUGGCAUUCACGGCUUCAACGUGUUCCUCUGCCUCCUGCAGGCGCUGUGCCAGCUUCUUCCUGGAAGGUUGUAAGCACAGCUCAGACUUUGGGAGCAAAGUGGAGAUUUUUCUGUCUUUUUCACUACCGUACUGAGGCACUUCACAGUGUUCUCCCCAGAUGCACCUAAUGCAGAGCGUCUCCCAAACUUUAUUCCCUUUUCCUUUCCUCAAGUCUAGAAAUUCAUCAAUUCCUCAUCUCACUGCAUACAUCAUACACUGCCUUUGUCUUGCAUUCUAUCACAUUGCCUAUUUGUCCUUUUGAAACCACCAUCUCAACAGCACAAAUUUCCCUUCUUAUCACUCCUCUCCAAACUGCUAUUUGUCUUUUGCCCUUCAGUAUGUCAGAGAUUUCUUCAAAUUUCCACUACUUUCUACCAGCCUUCCCCUCCACAUACUUGGCCUCCUCCAGCUCCUCUGUGCGCUGAAUAGCGUCCGUCUCAUAUUUGGUUCUCCACUGGGCCACUUCGCUGUUGGCCUUGGA